rnacentral:rRNA from 1 species
GACGAACGCUGGCGGCGUGCUUGACACAUGCAAGUCGAGCGGAAAGGCCCUUCGGGGUACUCGAGCGGCGAACGGGUGAGUAACACGUGAGUAACCUGCCCCAGCCUCUGGGAUAACCCUCGGAAACGGGGGCUAAUACCGGAUACGACACAGCUUCGCAUGGGGUCUGUGUGGAAAGUUUUUCGGUUUGGGAUGGGCUCGCGGCCUAUCAGCUUGUUGGUGGGGUGAUGGCCUACCAAGGCGACGACGGGUAGCCGGCCUGAGAGGGCGACCGGCCACACUGGGACUGAGACACGGCCCAGACUCCUACGGGAGGCAGCAGUGGGGAAUAUUGCACAAUGGGCGGAAGCCUGAUGCAGCGACGCCGCGUGAGGGAUGACGGCCUUCGGGUUGUAAACCUCUUUCAGCAGGGACGAAGCGUAAGUGACGGUACCUGCAGAAGAAGCGCCGGCCAACUACGUG